GGGUCAAUAGGUUGGUCGUGCCACCGGUACGUACUGGUCUCACUGAUUCCUCCUUCCUGAAGAACCGUAAUGCCAUUAAUUUGGUGUUGCGGGGAAACAGGACUGUUACUUUGAAAAAAUUAGAGUGUUUAAAGCAAGCUAACGCUAGAAUACAUUAGCAUGGAAUAAUGAAAUAGGACGAUCGAUCCUAUUUUGUUGGUCUCUAGGAUUGACGUA
rnacentral:rRNA from 1 species